GCGGAAGGACAUUACCGAGUUUACACUCCCAAACCCAAUGUGAACGUUACCAAACUGUUGCCUCGGCGGGAUCUCUGCCCCGGGUGCGUCGCAGCCCCGGACCAAGGCGCCCGCCGGAGGACCAACCAAAACUCUUUUUGUAUACCCCCUCGCGGGUUUUUUAUAAUCUGAGCCUUCUCGGCGCCUCUCGUAGGCGUUUCGAAAAUGAAUCAAAACUUUCAACAACGGAUCUCUUGGUUCUGGCAUCGAUGAAGAACGCAGCGAAAUGCGAUAAGUAAUGUGAAUUGCAGAAUUCAGUGAAUCAUCGAAUCUUUGAACGCACAUUGCGCCCGCCAGUAUUCUGGCGGGCAUGCCUGUCCGAGCGUCAUUUCAACCCUCGAACCCCUCCGGGGGGUCGGCGUUGGGGAUCGGCCCUGCCUCUUGGCGGUGGCCGUCUCCGAAAUACAGUGGCGGUCUCGCCGCAGCCUCUCCUGCGCAGUAGUUUGCACACUCGCAUCGGGAGCGCGGCGCGUCCACAGCCGUUAAACACCCAACUUCUGAAUGUUGACCUCGGAUCAGGUAGGAAUACCCGCUGAACUUAAGCAUAUCAAUAAGCCGGAAGAAU
rnacentral:rRNA from 1 species